UCUCCGUUGGUGAACCGGCGGAGGGAUCAUUACAGGAUCGAAAGACUCCUAUAACCCCUGUGAACUUACUCCAAAUACGCUGCGUCGGCGGGUGCCCCGGGUCACCCGGGGCGGUCAGCCCGCCGGCAGCCUUCAAAUUCUGUUUCUUUGCGUUGGCAUCUCGAGUAUACAAAAAUAAGUUAAAACUUUCAACAACGGAUCUCUUGGUUCUG
rnacentral:misc_RNA from 1 species